rnacentral:rRNA from 1 species
AUUGAACGCUGGCGGCAGGCCUAACACAUGCAAGUCGAACGAGUGGCGGACGGGUGAGUAAUAUCUGGGACACUGCCCGAUGGCGCGGGGUCACUACUGGAAACGGUAGCUAAUACCGCAUACCAUCGGAUGUGCCCCGAUAGGAUUAGCUAGUAGGUGGGGUAACGGCUCACCUAGGCGACGAUCCCUAGCUGGUCUGAGAGGAUGACAAGCCACACUGGAGCAGAGACAGGGUCCAGACUCUGAAGGGAGUCAGUAGUGGGAAAUAUUGCACAAUGGGGGAAAGCCUGAUGCAGACAUGCCGCGUGAAUGAAGAAGGCCUUCGGGUUGGAAAGUACAUUCAGCGGGGAGACGUGAAUCGCAGAAGAAGCACCGGCUAACCCCGUGCCAGCAGCCGAGGUAAUAC